rnacentral:rRNA from 1 species
CAAUAGCGUAUACUAAUGUUGUUGCAGUUAAAAAGCUCGUAGUUGAAAUUCGGGUGGAAUUCGUUCUAUCUAAUGUUCUCCAAGAACAAUUUACUGUGAUUAAAUUAGAGUGUUUCAGGCAGACUAUGUUUGAAUACAACAGCAUGGAAUAAUAAAAUAUGAUAUAUUUCUUAUGGCCAAGAAAAAUAUAAUGAUUAAUAGAAGCAGUUUGGGGCAUUCGUAUUUAAUAGUCAGAGGUAAAAUUCUUGGAUUUAUUAAAGACGAACUAAAGCGAAAGCAUUUGUCAAGGAUGUUUUCAUUAAUCAAGAACGAAAGUUAGGGGAUCAAAGAUGAUUAGAUACCAU